GGACAUUUGGCGGUACUGACGUGU
rnacentral:siRNA from 1 species